AAUUAACUUAAGAGGCAACUCUUAACUGACCGACUGGGGAAAUGCCGAGAGGUUCAAGCCCAGGGGGCAGAAAACUCUGUUGAGUAGCGCUAAAAUGGCGGAGUGCAAAGGCAUGGCGGUAGCGCCUACAACGACGUGCCAA
ncrna:unclassified sequences IMES-2 RNA motif